CACCUUCGAAGGCUAAGUACUCCUGACUGACCGAUAGUGAACCAGUACCGUGAGGGAAAGGUGAAAAGCACCCCGACGAGGGGAGUGAAACAGUUUCUGAAACCGGACGCCUACAAUCAGUCGGAGGCUCCUUGAGAGCUGACGGCGUACCUUUUGUAUAAUGGGUCAGCGACUUAUGUUCAGUGGCGAGGUUAACCGUUUAGGGGAGCCGUAGGGAAACCGAGUCUGAAUAGGGCGAUUUAGUCGCUGGGCAUAGACCCGAAACCGGGCGAUCUAUCCAUGAGCAGGUUGAAGGUGCCGUAACAGGCACUGGAGGACCGAACCCACCUAUGUUGAAAAAUGGGGGGAUGAGCUGUGGCUCGGAGUGAAAGGCUAAUCAAGCCCGGAGAUAGCUGGUUCUCCUCGAAAACUAUUUAGGUAGUGCCUCGCGUUUGACUGCUGGGGGUAGAGCACUGUGUCGGCUAGGGGGUCAUCCCGACUUACCAACCCGAUGCAAACUCCGAAUACCAAGAAGUGCAAUCACGGGAGACACACGGCGGGUGAUAACGUCCGUCGUGAAAAGGGAAACAACCCAGACCAUCAGCUAAGGUCCCAAAAU
rnacentral:rRNA from 1 species